rnacentral:rRNA from 1 species
UACGAAGGGGGCUAGCGUUGCUCGGAAUCACUGGGCGUAAAGCGCACGUAGGCGGACUCUUAAGUCGGUGGUGAAAUCCUGGAGCUCAACUCCAGAACUGCCUUCGAUACUGAGAUGUCUUCGAGUCCGGGAGAGGUGAGUGGAACUGCGAGUGUAGAGGUGAAAUUCGUAGAUAUUCGCAAGAACACCAGUGGCGAAGGCGGCUCACUGGCCCGGUACUGACGCUGAGGUGCGAAAGCGUGGG